GACGAACGCUGGCGGCGUGCCUAAUACAUGCAAGUCGAACGCACUCUCGUUUAGAUUGAAGGAGCUUGCUCCUGAUUGAUAAACAUUUGAGUGAGUGGCGGACGGGUAAGUAACACGUGGGUAACCUGCCCUAAAGUGGGGGAUAACAUUUGGAAACAGAUGCUAAUACCGCAUAAAACCUAACACCGCAUGGUGUAGGGUUGAAAGAUGGUUUCGGCUAUCACUUUAGGAUGGACCCGCGGUGCAUUAGUUAGUUGGUGAGGUAAAGGCUCACCAAGACCGUGAUGCAUAGCCGACCAGAGAGGGUAAUCGGCCACACUGGGACUGAGACACGGCCCAGACUCCUACGGGAGGCAGCAGUAGGGAAUCUUCCACAAAUGGACGAAAGUCUGAUGGAGCAACGCCGCGUGAGUGAAGAAGGUUUUCGGAUCGUAAAACUCUGUUGUUGGAGAAGAAUGUAUCUGAUAGUAACUGAUCAGGUAGUGACGGUAUCCAACCAGAAAGCCACGG
rnacentral:rRNA from 1 species